GGAUUUUAAGUUAUUUAUAAACUGAAAACCUUCAAAGUUUUUAAAAAAAGUUAUUCUUUUAAAUCCUA
rnacentral:tRNA from 1 species